AAAAAAAUAGCACUAUUUUAGUAUUUACAGUUUUAUAAAAUUUGGUUCACAUAAUCUCCCUGCAAAAUGAAACAGUAUGUUGUUUUAAAAAAUAGGGGUCCAUGCUCUGGUUUUCAAAUUAAAUCAGUUUGAGUGAUAAAAAUCAGUCGAAAAAAUGCAUCUUUUCCAGAUAUGUCACAGUUUGAUGUCGCGAAAAUAACAUUUAACGUUAGCAAUGUCAUUACCUCCCCUGUAACUGUAUCGUAUGCCCUUAACAAUUAUAUUGUGAAUAUAAUAAUACAGAUGAUAAAGCAUCCUCGAUGCAAUGAAGAAAGUCCCCAAUGAAAACUGAGAUUUAGAGCUUACCUGAAUUAUACCAGAAGAAUCACUGGUGUGAUACUUUCCAAAGUAUUUUUGAAUGGAGUUUUCAUACAUACUUUUUUCUUUUGAAAUUCGUAUUAAAUCUUUAUUUAGAGAGCCAUUCAUUG
rnacentral:lncRNA from 1 species